rnacentral:rRNA from 1 species
AGUGAACGCUGGCGGUAGGCCUAACACAUGCAAGUCGAACGGCAGCACAGUAAGAGCUUGCUCUUACGGGUGGCGAGUGGCGGGCGGGUGAGGAAUACAUCGGAAUCUACUUUUUCGUGGGGGAUAACGUAGGGAAACUUACGCUAAUACCGCAUACGACCUACGGGUGAAAGCAGGGGAUCUUGGGACCUUGCGCGAUUGAAUGAGACGAUGUCGGAUUAGCUAGUUGGCGGGGUAAAGGCCCACCAAGGCGACGAUCCGUAGCGGGUCUGAGAGGAUGAUCAGCCACACUGGAACUGAGACACGGUCCAGACUCCUACGGGAGGCAGCAGUGGGGAAUAUUCGACAAUGGGCGCAAGCCUGAUCCAGCCACACCGCGUGAGUGAUGAAGGCCUUCGGGUCGUAAAGCCCUUUUGUUGGGAAAGAAAAGCAGCAUGUUAAUACCCCGCUGUUCUGACGGUACCCAAAGAAUAAGCACCGGCUAACUUCGUG